rnacentral:lncRNA from 1 species
CUAAAAAAUUACUUCCAUAAUAUCAUAUUCACAUAUGAAAAGUACUAAAAUUUAGGAACAAUUACUUAUAUAUCCCUGAAAAAUUUUCGACUGUCUUUUUUACACCUCUUAGAAGGCUAAUAUUAAAAAGAAAAAACUUUAAAUACUACCCAUGUGGUUUCGCACUUUCUCAUUUUAAUACCUUGUGAUCUAAAGUGUAUUAAGUUAGUGUCAUGUGGUUUCAUUUUUCUCCUUUUUAUUAUCAUUAAACUAUUUUUUUUCGUUAAAUCGGUGACAAAGUUAAAACUAAAGGAUAUUAAAGUGAAUAUCGAUAAAUCUAGGUGGGGUAUCUGAAGUUUUUUGUAUAUAAUUUAACGAAAUAUUAGCGGAGAAGCUGACGAAAAAAGAAAAAUGAAACUACAAGACACUAAUUUGAUACAAUUUAAACCACAUGAUACUAAAAUGAGAAAGUGCAAAACCACAGGGGUGGUAUUUGAAGUUUACCCUAUUAAAAAUUCUCUUUUAACAUUCCAAAUUAUUUCAAAUAUACCACUGAGUUAAAUCCUGCCAGUGAACUGUUAGAAACAACUAUUAUCUCUCUAUAAAAUUACUAUUUUGAUUUUUCAAAUAUACUCUUUUACCGUCAUAAUUUUUUUUAUUUGCCCUUAAAUUAAGGGCAAGAGUAGUACUAUUUUACCUUUCAUAGUACAAUAUAGUUAAAUGUAAUCUUUACUAUUUUACCUUCCAAGGUGUAACUAUAUUAUGCCCUUAAACAAUAUUUUUAAUAGUCACAAUAUUUGAAUUUUUUAAUAUAAUUAAUGGUGGGGGAAAAGAUACUUAUGAAAUUAUGCCAAAAUAUAUAAUGAGUAAAAUACAGAAUAUCCUCCUAUAAAUAUUCAUUUUUUUAUUUUUCUUGCUCUGACUUUCAAGAACCUAUAUUUUAUCCCCUGAAAAUUUUAAAAAAAUUUUAAAAAAAUUACGACAUUAAUAGAUAGGACGAAAUGACCAAAUUUUUCCUAAAUUAUUCCAUAAGAAAGAAUAAUUUUUAAUAAAUUUUUGUAAUGUUUAAAAAUAUUUUCGGUAAAUUAUCAGAACUUGACGGAGGAAGUUUAAAUGCAUUAACUUAAAAAUUUUAAGAGAAUAAAAUAUAAAUUUUUAAAAAUUCAUAAAAAAAAGUAAAAAAUUAAAUAUUUACAGAGAAUUACUUUCUGUAUUUUAGCGAAUAGGCAAUUGCUUAUAUAACUUUGAAAAGUUUCCAGACUUUUUGAUUUACCCCUCUUGGAAGAAUAAUAUUGAAAAUAUCUUUUUUACAUUCCAACAUAUUUUAAAUAUAUUCAUAAAGUUAAAAUCUGUUAAUAAACUAUUAUUUAUAAAAUUACUAUUUUACGCUUUCAAAUAUACCUUUCUAUUAUAACCAACUUUUUUUUAUUUUUUCUUAAGUUAGGGCUCAAAAGGUAUUUUACUUUUGAUUUUUUUAAAUAUACUUUUCUACCAUCACCAAUAUUUCUUAUUUGCCCUUAAGUUAAGGCAAAAGAGACAUUUUAAUUUUUUUUAACUUUGGUAGAUAUUUAACUCACGUUUAACUUAAGUUAACUUAACGGAUAGUAACUGUAGAAGUAUUUUGGAAUAAAAAAGGAACAUAUGAGAGGUAUAUUGAAAAAAAAAAUAAAGAUAAAUAAAAUAUUUUCAAAAUUUUAAGGGAUAUACAGACAUUUUCCCUUUAAGGGCAUGUUUGUUUUACCGAAACUGAACUUUGGAUUGAAACAGAGUUCCGUGAAAACUGUUCCUUCCCCGUUGUUUGUUUCAUAGUUAUGAAAGUGGAGUUUUAUUAGUUCUGCUGUUUGUUUGGUAGAAAGUAUAUGAUGUAAAACUCUAAUUUAUGUAUAAAUAAUAAAUAAUUUAAUAAAUAAAAAUAAUAUAAUUAUAUUUUUAUAUAAUUAAAAUUUAAUUUAAAACAACGAAAUUAUUUUUUUAUAUAUAAAUUAUAAUAAUACAAUAAUAAAAUUAUAAAGUAAAACCGACCGUCCCUAGAGCAAGUGGCAAAAGGCUUGGUCGUUGGUAUCCAAGAUCCAAGUUCGAAUCCUAGUUGAUUCACAUUUCUAGCUAAGUUUAUUUCUAAAUGAAAUAAACGAAGCGUCCCGUGAAGUCUUGCCACGUGGUGUCCACCCGCUUACCUCCCAAUUAAUGUGGUCAAAUGGUCCAAUUUCAUAUAAACAAAUUGCUUCGUACUCUUUUUUCUCAUUUUUUUGGCGCAUAAGAAAGUUCAUAUUUUGUACCUAUCUCUCAAAUAUAUAUAUAUAUAUAUAUAUAUAUAUAUAUAUAUAUAUAUAUAUAUAUAUAUAUAUUUAAAUAUAUUUAAUUAUGGUAUUAAUACUUGAUUAAUCAAUUUUUAUUAUAUUUUAAUUGUACAAACUAAAUAAAGAAAAUAUAAAAAUGUAACUAAUCAAUUUUUUUCAUAUCUUUAAAUAUGCCAAAUGAAUAAAAAAAUAAUUAAUACCAUAAUUAAAUAUAUUUAAAUAUAAUUAUCUUUACCUAGUUUUUUUCUUUUUUUUNAGAAACAGCUAUUAUCUCUCUGUAAAAUUACUAUUUUGAUCUUUCAAAUAUACUCUUUUACCGUCAUAAUUUUUUUUUAUUUGCCCUUAAAUUAAGGACAAGAGUAGUACUAUUUUACCUUUCAUAGUACAAUAUAGUUAAAU